GAUAAUGUAAUGUGAAUUGCAGAAUUCAGUGAAUCAUCGAAUCUUUGAACGCACCUUGCACCUCUUGGUAUUCCGAGAGGUACGCCUGUUUGAGUGUCGUGAAAUUCU
rnacentral:rRNA from 1 species